rnacentral:lncRNA from 1 species
GUCCGUAUAUGAGAUCAUGGCCAGCUUUCAUAGGAUGACUGUGGCUGUCAAUGUAAUAAUUCACUUCGAUAAAAAAUCGAGAUGAGAUCAAGUAUCAUAUGAGACUCUGGAUGUCUUAGAUAUAUGAAACAUUUUGCUUCAGAUCAGUAUUUAUAUGAAUUGAAAUCAGUCAGAUCAGUAUUUACAGGAUUGAUCAUAAUACUUCAUCAAAAGUCAAUUCAGAUAGCUC